CCUACGGGGGGCAGCAGUCGAGAAUCAUUCACAAUGGGGGAAACCCUGAUGGAGCGACGCCGCGUGGGGGAAUGAAGGUCUGCGGAUUGUAAACCCCUGUCAUGUGGGAGCAAAUUAAAAAGAUAGUACCACAAGAGGAAGAGACGGCUAACUCUGUGCCAGCAGCCGCGGUAAGACAGAGGUCUCAAGCGUUGUUCGGAAUCACUGGGCGUAAAGCGUGCGUAGGCUGUUUCGUAAGUCGUGUGUGAAAGGCGCGGGCUCAACCCGCGGACGGCACAUGAUAAUGCGAGACAAGAGUAAUGGAGGGGGAACCGGAAUGCUCGGUGUAGCAGUGAAAUGCGUAGAUAUCGAGAGGAACACUCGUGGCGAAGGCGGGUUCCUGGACAUUAACUGACGCUGAGGCACGAAGGCCAGGGGAGCGAAAAGGAUUAGAUACCCUGGUAGUC
rnacentral:rRNA from 1 species